rnacentral:rRNA from 1 species
CAGUCGACGACUUCCGUUAAUUGAUUAUGACGUACUUGUACUGAUUGAGAUUUUAACACGAAGUGAGUGGCGAACGGGUGAGUAACACGUGGGUAACCUGCCCAGAAGUAGGGGAUAACACCUGGAAACAGAUGCUAAUACCGUAUAACAGAGAAAACCGCAUGGUUUUCUUUUAAAAGAUGGCUCUGCUAUCACUUCUGGAUGGACCCGCGGCGUAUUAGCUAGUUGGUGAGGUAAAGGCUCACCAAGGCAGUGAUACGUAGCCGACCUGAGAGGGUAAUCGGCCACAUUGGGACUGAGACACGGCCCAGACUCCUACGGGAGGCAGCAGUAGGGAAUCUUCCACAAUGGACGCAAGUCUGAUGGAGCAACGCCGCGUGAGUGAAGAAGGGUUUCGGCUCGUAAAGCUCUGUUGUUAAAGAAGAACGUGGGUAAGAGUAACUGUUUACCCAGUGACGGUAUUUAACCAGAAAGCCACGGCUAACUACGUGCCAGCAGCCGCGGUAAUACGUAGGUGGCAAGCGUUAUCCGGAUUUAUUGGGCGUAAAGCGAGCGCAGGCGGUCUUUUAAGUCUAAUGUGAAAGCCUUCGGCUCAACCGAAGAAGUGCAUUGGAAACUGGGAGACUUGAGUGCAGAAGAGGACAGUGGAACUCCAUGUGUAGCGGU